rnacentral:tRNA from 1 species
UAAGGUUUUUAUAGUUGAAUACAACAUUGGCUUUUCAAGCCAGAAGUUUCGGUUAAAAUCCGGGUAAAAAUA